rnacentral:rRNA from 1 species
CGGACGGGUGAGUAAUGCUUAGGAAUCUGCCUGGUAGUGGGGGACAACGUUUCGAAAGGAACGCUAAUACCGCAUACGUCCUACGGGAGAAAGCAGGGGACCUUCGGGCCUUGCGCUAUCAGAUGAGCCUAGGUCGGAUUAGCUAGUUGGUGAGGUAAUGGCUCACCAAGGCGACGAUCCGUAACUGGUCUGAGAGGAUGAUCAGUCACACUGGAACUGAGACACGGUCCAGACUCCUACGGGAGGCAGCAGCU